ACCCCCUUCAGCCUCCACCUACAUCUAAAGGGUUGCAGCAAGCUUUCUUCACCACAUUUCAUGCAUGCACCCCCUCUCGUUUUCUCGCUGUCUCCUUCAGACACACUCACACAUAUGCUGUCACACGAUUCAAAAGUACACUAGAUUACUCAACUCAGUCUUCUGGCACCACUAACUUUAUCUUCUCACAACUUUGGGAAACCAGCAACGCUGCGAGCGGUCUGCGAGCUUCCUGUCACUCGAGACAACACAACUUACAGUCGAAUGAGAUAGAGGCAAUACAGACUUCCUGUCACAUCUCCAGCGUGCGUUUGUAUAUUUGCAGUUAUAAACCUUUGGCUACGUUUAAGCCAGCGUGGAUGAUCCCGGAUACAAAUUUACCAAUGGAUCUGAUAAAAACUUCACAACUGCUUUAAAGUACAAGGAGUUUGACUGCAAAAUUCUGCCUAACUGUGACACCAAGCCAGUGGGAUUUUUCUACUCAGCGGGGAAUUUUCUAAGGAGGCAUGGCUGACGACGUCGAUUAUCAAGUAAACACUCCGACUGUGCUGACCCUUUUUUUCUGCCUGGUAGGCUUAAUUGUGUUGCUGAUCUUCUUGUACAUUAAGUUGAACAAGGAGGCCAAUGGAAAAUAUACGGUGCGGCGCAUGGUGUAUAAGGAAGGAGGGGUCAGGGACCGGGUGAGAGGGGCAGCGUUAGUUGUGGGGACGCGUCUCGGAGUCCAGCUGUGGCCUCAAAGUGAUACUGAUGAAGAUGGAGAGGAAAUGCAGGAAAUCCAAGAUGAGGAGGGUCAGGUGGAGGAUGGUGGUAGCAAGGGGAGUGACAGUGAGGGAGAUGACCGGGAGGAGGAUGAGGAGGAGGCUGAGGAGGAUGAGGAGCAAUGUGGUAAGGCAAAGGGAAAAGGAGGUGACUCUUCAGAUGAUAACUCAAGUCUGUUGAGUUCAGAGGCAGGGGAGCAAGUCAGUCUAAGGGAUCAGACAGAGGAGAAAGUGAGAGAAGGUAAAGGUGAAGCAAGUGGAGGGACUGGGUUGUUGGUAGAUCUAAAGCAGUUCUCUGGUAGUGCCAUCUGGUCUGAGGAAGAGGGGGGUUCAGGCAAGGACAAUGAUAUGACUGUACUGUGAGAACAGUAAUGAAAUACAAGGGAGGCUUAGGAAAUAAUACUGAGGUCAUGUGUCCCCUAAUUAGCUGUGAAAAUAGAUUUUCUGUGAAUUGUAUUUCCCCAACAUGAAAGUCUAAAUGCUGUUCCACACUGCCAGGAGCCAAAGUAGUCUAAAAAUACUGGAACCACCCUAUAAAACAGUUUUUAAUUGGAGAGUGUAGACUCCCCCAGGUUACGAAAACCCCAUAAAUCCCCCCCUAAAAAACACUGAAAACAGUGUCCUCAAUUGUAGCUACGGCUCUGGUUUUUAAUUCCACUUCCUGUUGAAGCAUCAGGAUAAAAAGGCCAUUGAUGAAUGAAGCUGUUGUGAAUACGCAGGAGUACACUGGAUUGGAUUUUGAAUGUUUGUGUACGAGUUUACCUUUUAUAAAGUAGUCAAAUCAAACUUUUGUAUUAUUGUGUCAGCCUAUUGCAUGCUGUAUAUUCUGUGUUUUUUUAUUGCUUUUUUUUGUAAUAUAUACUGAAAGUAAAAACAAAAAAACAAAAAUAGAUAUUACUAUUUCAUAUUACUGUGUUCAUAUUGUUCUCAAUGUCAUAUGUAGAGCUGAGUCCAUUAACUGAUUGAACGAUCCACAGAAAAGUUAUUUUUUAAGCAAAAAAAGACAACAUUUUAAUUUUAAUUUAGCUUCUCAAAUGUGAACUAAUGUUACAGUGUUGAAUAUUACUUAAUUACUUAAUAAACUUACCAUCAAGUGCCAUUUCAUAUGUUAGUUAAGCUACGUUGUGGCCUAUAGUGUGUAGUAAAAAUAUAGAUCAGUAGUAAUCAUCAUGUUGAAUGUACUGCAAAACUACAACAUUAAGCUCUAUAUAUCUUUAAAGGGUAUAAUGAUGACUCAUGAACUGAAGCUACAUUGACAUACAUGUAAAUAUAUGACCUACUUUACUCUGUUAAUGAAUGUAUUGAAAAGCGGUGCCAGUUCAUGAACAGUUUUGUUUUGCAAAAAUGUUUUCAUUUUAAGAUAUUGUACACUGUAAGAAAAUUCAUAAAAAAAUGACGUUUUCAUAUUAGUACUGCCUUUUUUUGUUGAGAUAACUAACAUUACAACACAUCAAAAUGACAUUAGUGGAGCUGAAACAGUCCAUUAAUUGAUUGAGCGAUCCUCAGAAAAGUUAUUUUUUAAACAAAAAAAUACACAAUUUUAAUUUUAAUUCAGCUUCUCAAAUGUGAUCUAAUGUGAUAGUGCUGAAUAUUUAACUUGUUUGGGACUGAGUCAAACUUACCAUCAAGUGCCAUUUCAUAUGUUAGUCAGGCUACAUUGUGGCCUAGUGUGUAGUAAAAAAAUAUAGAUCAGUAGUAAUCAUCAUGUUGAAUGUACUGCAAAACUACAACAUUAAGCUCUAUAUAUCUUUAAAGGAUAUAAUGAUGACUCAUGAACUGAAGCUUCAUUGACAUGCAUGUAAAUAUCUGACCUACUUUACUCUGUUAAUGAAUGUAUUGAAAGGCAGUGCCAGUUCAUGAACAGUUGUGUUGGCAAAAAUGUUUUCAUUUUGAGAUAAAUGUACACUGUAAGAAAAUUAAUAAAAAAGUGACAUUUUCA